AAGAUCAUGGAAUCCUUCAAAAACAUGGUUCCAUAGUAAGCCCUGGUGAUUUGAAAUUGUGAGAAAAUGAGCAUAAACACGGAGGAGGUGGUUGUUGGGGACCUAGUAGAAGUGAAAAGCCAGGAUCGGAUCCCUGCUAACCUCAGGAUCAUAUCUGCCAGCAGCUGCAAGGUGGAUAACUCCUCACUCACCGGUGAAUCAGAGCCCCAGACCAGGUCUCCAGACUUCACAAACAAAAACCCCCUGGAGACAAGGAACAUUGCCUUCUUUUCAGCCAACUGCGUUGAAGGCACUGCCCUUGGCAUCGUCAUGUACACUGGAGGCCACAGUGUCAUGGGAAGAAUGGCCACGCUGGCCUCUGGGCUGGGAGGCAGCCAGACUCGCAGCACUGCAGAAAUCAAACGUUUUAGUCAGCUCAUCACGGGUGUGGCCGUGUUCCUGGCUGUCUUUCUUCAUCCUCUCACUGAUCCUCGAAUAUACCAGGCUUGAGGCCAUCAUCUUCCUCAUUGAUAUCAUUGUAGCCAAUGUGCCCGAAGGUCUGCUGGCCACUGUCAUGGUGUUUCUGACCCUCACUGCCUAACGCAUGGCCCGGGAAAACUGCUUAAUGAAGAACUAAGAGGCUGUAUCCACAUCCACCAUCUGCUCCCAUAAAACUUGA